GUGGUGUUAGCUCAACGGCAGAGCGUCUCCCUGUGGAGGAGAAGGUUGCGAGUUCGAUUCUCGUACACCACCCA
rnacentral:tRNA from 3 species